UACGAGGGGUCCUAGCGUUGUUCGGAAUCACUGGGCGUAAAGGGUGUGUAGGUGGCUUUACAAGUCAGGUGUGAAAUCCCAUGGCUCAACCAUGGAACUGCAUUUGAAACUGUAGAGCUUGAGUGUUGGAGAGGAUGGCAGAAUUCCUGGUGUAGUGGUGAAAUACGUAGAUAUCAGGAGGAACUCCGGUGGCGAAGGCGGCUAUCUGGCCAAACACUGACACUGAGACACGAAAGCGUGGGGAUCAAACAGG
rnacentral:rRNA from 1 species